UACGUAGGUGGCAAGCGUUGUCCGGAUUUACUGGGCGUAAAGGAUGCGUAGGCGGCCAUUUAAGUCAGAUGUGAAAUACCCGAGCUUAACUUGGGUGCUGCAUUUGAAACUGGGUGUCUAGAGUGCAGGAGAGGUAAGUGGAAUUCCUAGUGUAGCGGUGAAAUGCGUAGAGAUUAGGAAGAACACCAGUGGCGAAGGCGACUUACUGGACUGUAACUGACGCUGAGGCAUGAAAGCGUGGGGAGCAAACAGG
rnacentral:rRNA from 1 species